UUCCCGUUGAUCCUGCCGGACCUGACUGCUAUCGGAUGAUACUAAGCCAUGCGAGUCAUUGUAGCAAUACAAGGCAGACGGCUCAGUAACGCGUAGUCAACCUACCCUAUGGACGGGAAUAACCUCGGGAAACUGAGUAUAAUGCCCGAUAGAACAUUAUGCCUGGAAUGGUUUAUGUUCCAAAUGAUUUAUCGCCAUAGGAUGGGACUGCGGCCUAUCAGUUUGUUGGUGAGGUAAUGGCCCACCAAGACUAUUACAGGUACGGGCUCUGAGAGGAGUGGCCCGGAGAUGGGUACUGAGACACGGACCCAGGCCCUAUGGGGCGCAGCAGGCGAGAAAACUUUGCAAUGUGCGAAAGCACGACAAGGUUAAUCCGAGUGGUUUCUGCUAAAGGAACCUUUUGUCAGUCCUAGAAACACUGAUGAAUAAGGGGUGGGCAAGUUCUGGUGUCAGCCGCCGCGGUAAAACCAGCACCUCAAGUGGUCAGGAUGAUUAUUGGGCCUAAAGCAUCCGUAGCCGGCUCUGUUAGUUUUCGGUUAAAUCUGUACGCUCAACGUACAGGCUGCCGGGAAUACUGCAGAGCUAGGGAGUGGGAGAGGUAGACGGUACUCGGUAGGAAGGGGUAAAAUCCUUUGAUCUAUUGAUGACCACCUGUGGCGAAGGCGGUCUACCAGAACACGUCCGACGGUGAGGGAUGAAAGCUGGGGGAGCAAACCGGAUUAGAUACCCGGGUAGUCCCAGCUGUAAACUAUGCAAACUCAGUGAUGCAUUGGCUUGUGGCCAAUGCAGUGCUGCAGGGAAGCCGUUAAGUUUGCCGCCUGGGAAGUACGUACGCAAGUAUGAAACUUAAAGGAAUUGGCGGGGGAGCACCACAAGGGGUGAAGCCUGCGGUUCAAUUGGAUUCAACGCCGGG
rnacentral:rRNA from 1 species